rnacentral:rRNA from 1 species
UACGAAGGGGGCUAGCGUUGUUCGGAUUUACUGGGCGUAAAGCGCACGUAGGCGGAUUGUUAAGUCGGGGGUGAAAUCCUGGAGCUCAACUCCAGAACUGCCUUUGAUACUGGGGAUCUCGAGUCCGGGAGAGGUGAGUGGAACUGCGAGUGUAGAGGUGAAAUUCGUAGAUAUUCGCAAGAACACCAGUGGCGAAGGCGGCUCACUGGCCCGGUACUGACGCUGAGGUGCGAAAGCGUGGGGAGCAAACAGG